AUUUCAUCUGUGAUUAAAUCAUCUACAAUGUCUUCCUCAGCCCUGUCAUCAUAAAUUUAACCAUUGCAAUGCUGCUUAACAUCAACAUAAAUACAUCUUAGGUAUGCAUCCUCUCACUCAAAAGAAUUCUCAAAUAAUAUUUUUAUUAAGGAAAAUUUAAAUGAUGGUGGCAGCUUAGAAGUGACUAAAGUAGUUAGAAGAAUGAAGCUCAAGAAAUCAAAAUUGUCAAUAAUUCUUUGUCCAACAAUAAUAUUAAUCGA
rnacentral:lncRNA from 1 species